AUGAACGCUGGCGGCGUGCCUAAUACAUGCAAGUCGAGCGAACAGACGAGGAGCUUGCUCCUCUGACGUUAGCGGCGGACGGGUGAGUAACACGUGGAUAACCUACCUAUAAGACUGGGAUAAUUUCGGGAAACCGGAGCUAAUACCGGAUAAUAUAUUGAACCGCAUGGUUCAAUAGUGAAAGACGGUUUUGCUGUCACUUAUAGAUGGAUCCGCGCCGCAUUAGCUAGUUGGUAAGGUAACGGCUUACCAAGGCAACGAUGCGUAGCCGACCUGAGAGGGUGAUCGGCCACACUGGAACUGAGACACGGUCCAGACUCCUACGGGAGGCAGCAGUAGGGAAUCUUCCGCAAUGGGCGAAAGCUUGACGGAGCAACGCCGCGUGAGUGAUGAAGGUCUUCGGAUCGUAAAACUCUGUUAUUAGGGAAGAACAAAUGUGUAAGUAACUAUGCACGUCUUGACGGUACCUAAUCAGAAAGCCACGGCUAACUACGUG
rnacentral:rRNA from 1 species